rnacentral:rRNA from 1 species
AGUGAACGCUGGCGGUAGGCCUAACACAUGCAAGUCGAACGGCAGCACAGUAAGAGCUUGCUCUUACGGGUGGCGAGUGGCGGACGGGUGAGGAAUACAUCGGAAUCUACUUUUUCGUGGGGGAUAACGUAGGGAAACUUACGCUAAUACAGCAUACGACCUACGGGUGAAAGCAGGGGAUCUUCGGACCUUGCGCGAUUGAAUGAGCCGAUGUCGGAUUAGCUAGUUGGCGGGGUAAAGGCCCACCAAGGCGACGAUCCGUAGCUGGUCUGAGAGGAUGAUCAGCCACACUGUAACUGAGACACGGUCCAGACUCCUACGGGAGGCAGCAGUGGGGAAUAUUGGACAAUGGGCGCAAGCCUGAUCCAGCCAUACCGCGUGGGUGAAGAAGGCCUUCGGGUUGUAAAGCCCUUUUGUUGGGAAAGAAAAGCAGCAGGUUAAUACCCCGCUGUUCUGACGGUACCCAAAGAAUAAGCACCGGCUAACUUCGUG